rnacentral:rRNA from 1 species
GGCGUAAAGAGUGGUUAGGAAAACAUAACAAAUUAAGGCCGAACGCCCUCAAGGCUGUUAUACGCACCCGAGAGUAAGAAGUACAACAACGAAAGUAGCCCUAUAAAUUCUGAACCCACGAAAGCUAAGGCACAAACUGGGAUUAGAUACCCCACUAUGCCUAGCCUUAAACAUUGAUAGCCUAUUACUUAAGCCAUCCGCCAGGGAACUACGAGCAUUAGCUUAAAACCCAAAGGACUUGGCGGUGCUUUAGAUCCACCUAGAGGAGCCUGUUCUAGAACCGAUAACCCCCGUUCAACCUCACCUUUCCUUGUUUUAUCCGCCUAUAUACCACCGUCGUCAGCUUAUCCUGUGAAGGUUUCUUAAUAAGCAAAAUUGGCAAAGCCCAAAACGUCAGGUCGAGGUGUAGUGUAUGGAAAGGGAAGCAAUGGGCUACAUUUCCUGCCCCAGGAAAUUACGAAUGAUAUAUUGAAAUAUAUGCCUGAAGGAGGAUUUAGUAGUAAGAGAAAAAUAGAGAGCUUGUCUGAAA